UAAGCACCGCUACUGUGCCGCAUCGGUCACGUUCCGAAUCACUGGUUUAAGGGUGCGAGGCGGCGAGCAUUGUGAACCCGGCACCGGGGUGACUCCUGAAUCGGUGAGGCGGCGAUGUGAUGUGGGGAAAUGCUUAUAUAUAGACACCAUUGCGAAGGCAGCUGCUGGGUUUGACGCUGAGGCACAAAGCGGGGGAGCAAACAGGAUUAAUACCCUGGUAGUCCCGCCCUAACUGUUUACUUGCUGUUCUGUGUGGCGGAAAGCGCUAAGAAACACCUGGGGGUACGCCGCAACGGUGAAACUCAAAGGCACAAGUUUAUCGCGGAGAACUUACCUGGCUAGGAUAAAGGCGCAGGUCUGCAUGGCUUUCAGCUCGUGUCGUGAGAUGUGGGUUAAGUCCCCAACGACGCACCCCCGCUCCAAUUGCACGGACUUUGGCGGACUGCCGGC
rnacentral:rRNA from 1 species